rnacentral:rRNA from 1 species
GGGAAUCUACCUAUCUCUACGGAACAACAGUUGGAAACGACUGCUAAUACCGUAUACGCCCUUAGGGGGAAAGAUUUAUCGGAGAUAGAUGAGCCCGCGUCCGAUUAGCUAGUUGGUGGGGUAAAGGCCUACCAAGGCGACGAUCGGUAGCUGGUCUGAGAGGAUGAUCAGCCACAUUGGGACUGAGACACGGCCCAAACUCCUACGGGAGGCAGCAGUGGGGAAUAUUGGACAAUGGGCGCAAGCCUGAUCCAGCCAUGCCGCGUGAGUGAUGAAGGCCCUAGGGUUGUAAAGCUCUUUCACCGGUGAAGAUAAUGACGGUAACCGGAGAAGAAGCCCCGGCUAACUUCGUGCCAGCAGCCGCGGUAAUACGAAGGGGGCUAGCGUUGUUCGGAUUUACUGGGCGUAAAGCGCACGUAGGCGGAUCGGUCAGUCAGAGGUGAAAUCCCAGGGCUCAACCCUGGAACUGCCUUUGAUACUGCCGAUCUUGAGUCUGGAAGAGGUGAGUGGAAUUCCGAGU